rnacentral:misc_RNA from 1 species
GAUGAAAAACGCAGCGAAAUGCGAUAAGUAAUGUGAAUUGCAGAAUUCAGUGAAUCAUCGAAUCUUUGAACGCACAUUGCGCCCGCCAGUAUUCUGGCGGGCAUGCCUGUUCGAGCGUCAUUACAACCCUCAGGCCCCCGGGCCUGGCGUUGGGGAUCGGCGGUAGCCCCCUGCGGGCACAACGCCGUCCCCCAAAUACAGUGGCGGUCCCGCCGCAGCUUCCAUUGCGUAGUAGCUAACACCUCGCAACUGGAGAGCGGCGCGGCCACGCCGUAAAACACCCAACUUCUGAAUGUUGACCUCGAAUCAGGUAGGAAUACCCGCUGAACUUAAGCAUAUCAAUAAGCGGAGGA